rnacentral:sRNA from 1 species
ACUUGCUUUUUCUCCCGCUUUGUCAUUGUAGGAGAAAACCAAAGAACUAGCAGAGAAGCAGGCGCAACUGAGCCCAUCUCGCUGGCCAGCUGCGCCAUGGCUGAUCUGGUUCCAGACUUGCAGCCCAUUCUUUUCUGGAUGUCUAACUCCAUCGAGCUCCUGUACUUUAUCCAGCAGAAAUGCCCACUCUACAUGCAGAGCAUGGAGGAGCAGCUGGACAUCACAGGCUCGAAGGAGUCGCUGUUCUCCUGCACGCUGACGGCCAGUGAGGAGGCCAUGGCGGUGCUGGAGGAGGUGGUGCUGUACGCCUUCCAGCAGUGCGUCUACUACGUCUCCAAGUCCCUGUACAUCUGCCUCCCGGCACUCCUGGAGUGCCCGCCGUUCCAGACGGAGCGCCGUGAGAGCUGGUCCUCAGCCCCUGAACUGCCCGAGGAGCUGCGCCGCGUGGUGUCCGUGUACCAGGCAGCCCUGGACCUCCUGCGGCAGCUGCAGGUGCACCCCGAGGUGGCCUCGCAGAUGCUCGCCUACCUCUUCUUCUUCUCCGGGACACUGCUCCUCAACCAGCUCCUCGACAGGGGCCCCUCCCUGAGCUGCUUCCACUGGCCCAGAGGUGUCCAGGCCUGCGCCCGCCUGCAGCAGCUCCUGGAGUGGAUGCGGAGCGCCGGCUUCGGGGCGGCGGGAGAGCACUUCUUCCGGAAGCUCUCCUGCACCCUCAAUCUGCUGGCCACACCCAGGGCCCAGCUCAUCCAGAUGAGCUGGACAGCCCUGCGGGCCGCGUUCCCCGCCCUGAGCCCAGCACAGCUGCACCGGCUGCUGACUCACUACCAGCUGGCCUCGGCCAUGGGCCCCAUGAGCGCCUGGGAGCCAGGGGCCCAGGACAGCCCCGAGGCCUUCAGGUCAGAGGAUGUCCUGGAGUCCUACGAAAACCCCCCACCCAUCGUCCUGCCCAGCGAGGGCUUCCAGGUGAACUUGGAAGCCGACUGCCUGGACGACAGCAUCUACCAGCACCUGCUCUACGUCCGUCACUUUCUGUGGGGCCUGCGGAGCAGAGCCAGCCCCGGCAGCCCUGGCAGUGGGGCUCCCCAGCCAGUGUGCCCCGAGGGUAUGCACCACACGGUCCCUGACCGUCACCCGGAGGCCCCAAGCUGCCCCCUGGCUCCCAGGGACCCUGGCCUAGCAGCCCGGGAAGCCGCCCCAGAGCGCACUCUUGCCUUGAGGGGGGCUCCCUGGGCACAGGCACCCCCUGGAAGGCAACCCGGCCGUGGGGGCUCCCAGACUGGCCCCCCGCACACGGACUCGUCCUGCUUGCUCACGCCUCCCAGCACUCCACUUGGUCCUGAGCCUGGGGACCCCGACUGGCCAGAGUCCGGCGGCCCCUGUGGAAAAGCGCUCCCAGAGAGGCAGAGGAACGGACCCAGCGCCCUCCGGGGUGCAGCUCCGGAAGGAGACUCUGCAGCCCUUGUGGACGAGUCCCCUCCAGCCCUGUCCAGCCGCAGCUCCAGCACCGAGGACUUCUGCUACGUCUUCAUGGUGGAGCUGGAACGAGGCCCCUCCGGGCUGGGGAUGGGCCUGAUCGACGGGAUGCACACGCGCCUGGGCACCCCUGGGCUCUACAUCCAGACUCUGCUCCCGGGCAGCCCCGCAGCGGCCGACGGGCGCCUGUCGCUGGGGGACCGUAUCCUGGAGGUGAACGGCAGCAGCCUCCUGGGCCUCGGCUACCUGAGAGCCGUGGACCUGAUCCGUCACGGCGGGAAGAAGAUGCGGUUCCUGGUCGCCAAGUCUGACGUGGAAACAGCCAAGAAGAUCCAUUUCCGCACGCCCCCUCUCUAGGGGGACUGCGAGGACACCCCCACAGGCCCGGCACCCGGUCCCACCUGGUGACACUAGGCUUCCUCCCACCUUCGUCCCUGUUUUGUAACUGACCAAGUCGGGUCCCGGGUGGGGAGCCUCACCUUGGGGACACGCCUGUUGAUAACAUGCAUCUCGGUGUAGAUUCUAUUUAUACGGCAGAUGACGUGAAGUUGUGAUGUUUGUUACAGAGCUUUUAUGUUUAAAGACUUUAAUGGAGAAGUACGGUUCAAUAAACUAUUUUUCCCAUU